rnacentral:pre_miRNA from 1 species
UCCACUGAGCCAUCUCGCCAGCCCGAAAAUAAUAUUUUUAUUGAGUUAAAAACACACAGGAGGGCUGGUGAGAUGGCUCAGUGGG